AAUUCGAUUUUAUAUGCUCCCGCCAUUCCUUUGUUUUCCAGGAAGCUAAGAAAAUAUUAUGUGAUUGGCACUGCUAGUUGGGCUGGAUUGUUUUUAGAGUGAUGAGCCAAACUAGCUGAUGGUCAGAAAUAUGAAUUUCUAGCCCACCACACAAAAGAGACAGAAUGGGAAGAUGUCCCAAGCAGCUUCCAGGUGCUGGGAAACGGAUGCCUCAAAAUCCAUUCCCCACCUGCUGGCCAAUUAGAGUUUAUUGCCCAAAAUCCUAUCUGAUUGGACUGUGGAGCCUGCAAAUCUAAACUGUUUAUACAUUGAGUCCCAACUUUUGUGAUAGAAACACAACAAAUAAAAUUUUGUCAGUAUGAUUAUUUGAACCAUUUGAAAUUUUAUUCAUAAAAAAGAGGAAUGUACAUCCAAAUGUGGAGGUUGGAAGACAAAAGGUGCCCACCCACCACAAAGCUGACUAACAUCAUACAUCCGUGCAACUUUCAGUUGCUCAUCCAUAGAUACCUCUCAAUGAAAACAGCAAAAUCUGCUGCUGCUGCUGCAUGUCGAGAUCCCCAACAAUAACAAAGUUCAGAUAACAAGCAGGUGAACCCCAAAGAGGGCUUGAUUUUUUAAUCCCAUCAACUGUCAUGAAGCACCUAAACUAGUUAGUAGAGCUAGCUCAAUCAGCACAACCAAACUUGCAUUUACAACUAUCACACCUGGCUGCCACCCAGAAGAAUUUUUAUUCAUUUAGCUUCAGAUCAGUAUCCCAUCACAGACUCAACAAAGUCCCAUGAAAAAAGCUGUGACAACUGGUCUAGUAGCAAUCUUCAAGAAAUGCAAAACGACAGGUGAUAGAAGAAAAAUCUUCAAUAAGAUCCUUCAUGGCACAGUUGCUGCAAUCAACACCUAAACAUCCAUACUCGUCAAUCUCCACCCACCAAAAAAUUCAGCAACUGUAGCAGAGACACUUGAAAACUGCUAGCAGAAACGCUCACUGCCGCACCAUGAACCUAAAAGUAUUGACCUCAAAGAGGAUAACAGCUGGUACUUGUUGCAAAGCUGAAAAUGAGGUCACCUGCAAACCAAAAGAGCUGAUCUGCAGCACUGUUGUGGCUUCUUCCCCUUUCCUGGAAGGCAAAGGAAUGGCGGGAGCACAUAAAAUUGAGUUUUAUUGUGCUAAUUUCAAUCCUUUUGAGCAUAUAAAGUGAGAGAAAAAACCCAAAGCAAAUUUCAUGGCCCUAAUUUCAAACCCUUGAGCAAGAAAAAAUAAAAACCUCAAAAGCGAAUUUCAUGACCCUAAUUUCAAUCCCUUGAGCAUAAAUAAAACCCUAAUCCCCAGUCUAAGCAUAUAAAUUAAAUGAUACAAAAAAAUAAACUUCACCAGAGAAGAGAACCUUAAUUCGAUUGAUUAAUAGCCAUUGAUGUGUGUUCGGGAUAGAUUUGAGAUGAGAGGGACUUUUCUUUGGAAAUUGCGAACGGUGUUAAAUGCCUGACAGAGGAAGUGGCAUUAAAUGCCUUGUGGGCCCGCUUUGACAUGCCUCGCUGGACCAACAUGGAGCAUAGGGUCCCAUUGAGGUUGGUGGAUCCCUGGAUAGGCUGAAGUUGCGCCCAGUGGUACCGGGCAGAUGUGGGGCCACUUGAUGCGCACAGAAUCCAACCCAUCCAUCGGAUGUGUCAUCCUAAAAUAUCCACAAUGCAAGCAGUCCUCAAUGUAGGGAAAAAGCUAGGGAGGAUGCCUUCCCUUUAUUUGCACGGGGCACCGUGUUGUGCACGUGAAAAUGAGGCGGUAGGGACCUUCAUUCGGCCUAGAUGAAGGGUCAGGAAAAAAUAAGGUUGUUUUGCAACUCAAGUGGGCCUCAGUGACAAUCAAGGGUGGGUGUCCCACCCAACCUUGUUCACCAUUCUUUGGUUUAGGCUUGUUGGGCUAUUGGGGUGAGUCAUUUGAUGGACUGGUUGGUGGAUGUAAUAUAUGCAUCAUGUGUGCACCAUUAUGCCCACCGUUACCGCAACGGGACAACUUGAAUAGAAGACGCCCAAAUGAGACUAGCCACAAACAAAAAAUAGCCUGGGUGGCUUUGACACAAGCCUCCCAACUCGAAAUAAACCACUUAGCAAAAGCCUCUCAACUUAAAAUAAACCAAUUAGCACAAGCCUCACAACUCGAAAUAAACCACUUAGCUUUCCUAAUGAUCUCCUUUACAUCCACCCUUUCGUUAUGAAAACAACACUUGUUUCUAACACCCCAAAUAACCCAGAGCACCGCCAUUAAAGUCAGCCUCCACAUGGUUUUUUCGGCCUUACCCACUCCACUCCCAUGCCAAGCCCACCAAGAAUCUUCUAUGGGCCUUAGUGAAGCCCAAGCGGUAUGGAGCUCUCCCAAAAAAUGAUCCCACACUUUCCUUGCGAAUGAGCAUUGAAGGAAGAGGUGAUCGAUGGACUCUGUGUCAUUCAUACACAUUAAUCAAAUGUUGGGAAGCACUAGCGAUCUCCUCUGAAGGUUAUCAAUGGUAAGAACCUUCUUCUGGCUCAUAAGCCAAACAAAAGUCGCCAAUCUCGAAGGGGCUCCAUAGAACCACUACUGAUAGGGAUGACGUGUAGAAGAAGAGCAAGGUGACAAGGAGAUCAACCCAUGGAGCAACCCGAUAGAGAAUUUACUGGAACUAUGCGCCAACCAUAACAACAAAUCUCUCUCAUUAUAUGAAGGGGUGAUAUCUUUGAGAUGAUUCAACAACUCGGAAGGUUCCAUUGGCUCUUUCUUGUUUGUGAGAAAAGUGGAUCAGCAAGUAAAAACAUUUUAAAAGCAAAUUUGAGCUGUGACAUGAUUCGAGACAAAGAAUGCAAGCUGCCAAGCUGUGACAUUUAUCGCACAACUUUUUAGCGUAGGCUUCUAAAAUCUGGUGAUCAUUUCCAACCACUCAUGUUUCCCAUUAAUGUUAAGUAUUUUGCUACAUGUGGUCCUUGGAAAAGAAAAUACAAUUAGUAGCUUUAUGGAGUCAUGGACCUGUUCUGUUGGAAGUAUGACUGUGUUAUUUAUUUCUAUGAGCUAUGAUUUUGUUGAGGGCCCGAUUCUGAAUAAUGAAGAAUGUUGUCUUUUCAGUUUGGACAUUUUGAGAUCAUAUUAGAUGCUCACUCUCUACUUCAAGUAUACGUUUGCACUUUUUAGGUUCCUAACAAAAUUACUUACAGAGGAUCUGCCUCGACUCUUUGUUCGUUGGAAGAAGAUCAUCCUUGAUUUGUAGAAGGGAAUGUCAGUUGGUCCUGCUUCAGAUUAUUUUAAAACUGGUGCAAUUCAGGAAGGGUAUAAAGACUUUGCUGGAGAACUAUAAGCAACUCUCGUAGAUACUCAGAAGCUUUUGCUUAUGUCUUUCUUGGAGACAAAUCCAUUUGUUGUUCUAAUGCUGGGCAAUCAACCAAUUUGCACUAAAAUGAAAUGAAUAGUCAGACUACUAUCAUUGGGCCACCGGGAGAGCCAAUAUGGAAUCAGGAUUUCCAUUUGCUUGCAGCAAAUCCUAGGAAACAGCGAUUAUCCAUCCAAGCGAAGGACUCCUUUGGUUUCACUGAUUUCACUAUAGGCACUGGGGAGGUUGAGCUGGGGUCUCUUCAAGAUACAGUACCAACACAGACAGCAUCAUAAACUUGCAAGGGGAGUGGGGACUGUUUAGGAAGAGGCCUUCGGGGGAAAUAUUACUGUGUCUCACAUAUAAAGCAUAUGUCGAGGAUGAAGAAGAUGAUGGGACACAGGCAGAAGCGUUGGAUAUCGAUUUAUCUGAUGAUGAGAGUUCAGACUGAUGAAGCAAAUGGCACAUAUGAGCAAAAUGAAAGGGAUCUCUCUGAAGAAACAGAGAAUCUUUUAUGGAUCUACUAGCAACUUUGCUUGUAAGUGAGGAAUUCCAAGGUAUGGUGUCAUCGAACCCAAUCAAAAAAGUUUCGUAAGGGGACUGGAGCAGGCUACCAUGAGACAAAUGAUCUUCUUUCUAAAGAGAUUCGAUUCGGUACUAUUAUAUGUUCAAGGUCCAAUAUUAAAAUCAUUUCAGAGGUUUUCCGUUUGUCCGUGUCAACAAACAAUUUGAAAUACCUCGACUUUUUCAGAACAGGUUUGAGUCAAAUAGCAAUGAUUCGAAGCACUUCUUUUUACACUAUUUUGGAAAACCAAAACUAUCAGAAGAGGCCACAUAUCCCUGAUCAACAGUACCAAUUUCACGUGGCCACAGUGAUAAGUUCACACCUCUGGAUUCUGAGGGCAGUUCAGAUAGUUCUGGAGGAUCGGCAUUGUUUUGUUCGCAGUGAUAAAAAGUUUAGCUGUAUUGACUUCUAUUAAUGUGGGUGGUACAAGCCUUUUCAAUCCAUGAUAUGCUAACACAACAUCUGCGUUGAACUGAAGCCCAAUGCUUGUGUUGGAUGAAAUGAUUACUGUGAUCUCCCCUCCGAAAAGUAACACAGGAAGGGGCCACAAGCCGGACUAGCAUCUCUCACUCUAUAUACACACCUUUCUCAUGUAUGUUCAUCAUAUCUGCAGUGGAACGUUCUGUUGGCGGCAUAUUUUUGAUCCCUUUGUAUCUCCUAAGUCUGUUCAUAUUCCAUUUUUUGAGCUUUCCUAAAAAUGAUUUGUACGGAACUGUCUGGUAUUGAGGUCUAUAAGGCAGUUAAUGAGCCAUUAAUGUUGUUGUCC